ACUGUCAUGUUUUAUAUAAAUAUAAUCCCAUCUCUAAACAGGUGAUACAAUCCCCAACAUUAAAGUUACUAGAAUUUUUUUUGGGCAAAAAUUAUGCUUUCUCUCUUUAACACACGAGCCCAAUGGAUUGCGGUACUUUCUAUAUUUAGCCAAUACAAAAUAUAACCUAUAAUUUCACAAACUAUAAUUUGUGAUUCUUAUUUCUAUCGUUCCUUUCAACACGGCUUUUUUCAAGACUACCAGUUUCUUUCGAAUAUUUACAAGUUGUAGCGUGUAAUAGGCAAUAGGUUUACUUCGACAAGCCUUUUACUUCUUAGAAGAGAAUAAGAUGCGUUUGCAGUUCUGUUUCCGUAAUGGAACUAAAGAUGAAAGUGAAGUUUGGGAGUACUCGAUACGUUUGUGUAUACAGGAGUUUCGAUAAACGGAUGUCAACCGUGACGAGGAUUACAACAAUAUACGCCGAAAUGCUCGUCGUUUACUUGAACGGUUUCACAUACAGGAAGUCUUGCUUCUGGGAAGUCACCUGGCCCUUAGUGAUUGCUAAUAAGGCGUUUGUAAAAGAUAUUCUUGCUCGUCUUGAACAAAGUCGAAAAAAGCAACUGCGAUAAUUUGUCCCACUAACGGAUAUCUCAUACGGAACGUGUGACACUAUUGCCUGGAGAAAAUUGUACUUCUAUCCUUUAAAGUAACCGUGUUACAAGAACUCAUCGUCCGGACUUGCAAAGUCCUAAAAUAUUGCAUGCAAAUUUACGAGAUGUCAACGUAUUCGAAACCGUUUACACACCAUUGCCGAAUUACGAGCAGGUAUAGAAGCUACCGUUUGAAGCAUUAUGCAACGGCACUUACAUGUCGGCUUCGAAAACAAAGAAAAGAGUGGACCCCUGUCUUAAUUAUGGUGACGAGAUCUUCGAACAGUUGUUUAUAACAUGUGAUUUAUCCAAUUACUUCAAUAUUAACGAUUUGUAAAAGAAAUAAAAUUGUUUCAAUUGUUGUAGCAAU